UACGGCGGUUAUAGCGGUGGGGAAACGCCCGGUUACAUUCCGAACCCGGAAGCUAAGCCCUCCAGCGCCGAUGGUACUGCACUCGGGAGGGUGUGGGAGAGUAGGACGCCGCCGGAC
rnacentral:rRNA from 1 species